rnacentral:lncRNA from 1 species
CUCUGUGCUCAGCAUCUGCCAGAGAUUCAUUCUUUUGCCCCCUUCUCAUUCAUGCUUUUUCUCUUUCUCUAAAAGAAAAAAAAAAAAAGCACUCACCUCAGAAUUUAUUGUAUAGACUCAGUGUGUUCGUAUCUGGAAGCUCCUGGCACGUGACAGAGGCUGCGUGUUGAUUAAAUACCCAGGCUACACUCUGCUGACUCUCAGCUCAUUCACUGCUCUGGGCCCAGCUGUCCCCUGAACUCUAGGUGACAUACCUAGCUGCCUCCAGGACAUCAUCUCCCCCUGACAUAAGUAUCUCUUCCCCUCAUGCCUACAUCCUCCUGCACCAGGGGGAUUUUUUAAAAAUAAAUUUAUUUUUUAUUGGUGUUCAAUUUGCCAACAUAUAGAAUAACACCCAGUGCUCAUCCCAUCAAGUGCCCCCCUCAGUGCCCGUCACUCAGUCACCCCCAUCCCCGCCCACCUCCCUUUCUACCACCCCUACUUCGUUUCACCAGGGGGAUUUAACUCUAACCUAGCUGCAACACAAGCCCCCUUCUCCUUGUCCUGCUGUGUCUCCACCCAGACCCCUUCUUCCCAUGCCCAGAGUUACUUUCUAAGGUAUCAUGGUCACAGAUACAACCUUCUGAAGUUCCCAGGCUGCCUGCAGGGAAGCUUCUUGGCAUUAAAUUGAAAGCCUUUAGGAGGGGGCCCAUGGCCUCAGCUGCAUUUUCAUUUCCUUGCUACCCUGAAUGUGUUUUACACAUUGAUUUUCUCUCUGCCCAGCAUGUUCUUCCCUCCCCAGCCUCCAGUUAAAAUGUGUCUGUCAGGAUCUUUUCACUGAGUGCCUGUCCUUGCUCACCAGGCUGGCUAGGGGCCUAGGUCCUCUAUGCUUGAGUUUUUUUUGUGUAUGUCUCCUUCCCUCCAUUUUCAGUCAGGGAGUUCUUGGAAGAGGCCAGGGUGGGAGGAACAGAAUAAUUCCUGGGAUUAGGCCUGGUCUAGAGAGAGCCUCAGGAAAUGUCUAUUAAAUGGGUAAAUUCUCUUACUCGAGGACUCAGCAAGACUAACAGUUAAAGAUACUAGAGUCCAGUAUUUUCCAGCCGGAGUCCCAGAGGCCCAGCCCUCUUGUCCUGGCUUCCAGUGGCCACCAGGAGUCACCAUCUGCUUAGUGUCUCCCCAGCCAUUCUCUGGUAUCCUGGGAUUCAUGGUUGGAAAAACUACCAUUCUCCAGUAGCCACCAUGACUGAGUGCUUAUGUGUCAGACACAGUGCUGCUCUGUGCUUUUCACACAGUUAUUUUAUUUCUUUGAACUUGCUUGUGAGGUAGGUUAUCUCCUUCAUAGGUGAUAAAAUUGACACUCAGAAAUUAAGUAUUGUGAGAUCACACAGCUGGCACAGCUGGAUUGUACUUUUUUUUUUUUUUUUAACAAAAUGAUUUUGAGAAUCUGGGCUCCCAAUUAUGCAAGGCUGCAGGGCAUCUUCCCACACCCUCCUGCCUCCACCACUGGUGGGGAUUCUAGCUUUGUGUCUCUCUCUCUCUGCAUCCUCUCUGUUCCUUCGGUUCUGGGCCUGCCUACCUGGCUUGACUGUGGAGGGUCACUGUCCCUUGAAUAUGGGGCAUGUAGGGUCACAAGAAUGUGGUGAACCGGAAUUCUGGGAAGCUGUUACCAGCUAUACUACUUGGGGUAGGUGCCUCACAGGACAGCAGUGAGGGCUCCUGAGGUAAUCCAGAAGAGGUAAUCCGGUUCAAAAAUGACUGACUCAAUUCCAGGGCCAGGAAGCCCUCUGCUCCCUGUAAAGGGAACCUUCUCUUCUUCGUGGGGCCAGUCUGACAGUACACCCGUGGGGUACAGUGGCCUCACCUCAGGGAGCACAUGCACACCUCAACUUAAUUGGAUGGAAAUGUCCAGGAGGAGCAGCAGCAAGUAUGGAAGGGCCAGCCACAGGCCAAGGUUCUGGGGCAGGAGGUGGGUGUGGAGGGAGAGGGGCUGAUGAAGACUGAGCAGGGGAAGAGCUCAGAGGAGAGCCAGCUGGGAAGGCUGCUCCAUCUAGUCUUUGAAGUUCCCCGGUGGUAGAGAGGGUGAAGAUAGAGCCCUGUGCCUAAGAACCUCUUUAGGCCUUCAGUAUCCUCUGCCUUCAGGUCUGUAUACCUUCUAGGUUUUCAGUACUCAGGUACCCAGGCUGCAGGCCUGAGUUGGGGCCUCUAAUGUCAAAACUGGAAUGGCCCUUCCCUUGCUAUGCAUGUGGGCUGAGGCCCAGAGAGGGGCUAGGGUCUUGUAUAGGGUCUCACAGCAGAACUGAGAACCCAGGACUCCUUUUCUGAAAACUGCCCUCAGGUUCUGCAGAGAGGGGCUGGCCUGGCCACCCAGUUCUAGGUUCUGCUCCCAGUGGUCUUCCUGAGGGACCUUGGGCAAAUCAUAGUAUCUUCCAGGGGAAGGAUUUUCCUCACCACUUCCAGCCCCACAGCUCUGGGCCUCACCAAAGGUGACAGCUCAUCCCUGAGGCUGUUCUGUAGGCAAGAAUACUGCCUUCUCUCCCUGCCCAAUCUCAGACCCUAGUAAGCCUGAGAUUUGACAGGGAGAAGUGACCAGCCCUUGUUUUGGGCUCUUGCUGCCCCUUGGUCAUCUCCAUGGGAGACACACCUUAGCUGGAGUCUUCUGUUCCUGAAUCUCCCCGACCAGAUGUGAGCCCUUUGGUGACAGGGAUGAGAUCUGAGUCAUUUCUAUCUCCAGUGCCCAGAACAAGACCUAGGGCAGUCUGCUGACUGGACAAGUAGUGAUCGAAUAGAGGUGGUCCUGGCCCUUUACAAGUUCUUGGAGAAUCCUGGCGGCACCAGCUAUGGACCCAUUUGUGGAGAGUCAGCAGACCAUGUCUGGGUACAAGCUGUUUUCUUCCUCUGGACACACAUCUAUUGGUCAAAAAUAUUUUCAUCUUUGCACAUUACUUCAGUUGAUCCUCCUGGAUUUUAGGACAUUCGUAUUGCCUUCUCAUUCCCACUUUACAGAUGAGGAAAGCAAGGCCCAGAAAGGUGAAGGGAUGAGCUGAAGGCCACAGCUAAUCAAGGUGGCCGGAACUUCCCCUGUCCCCUAUAGGAGCAAGGGGAUGAUGAGAAUAGGAAGGCUGCUUAAGUGUUUAGCACACAGUGUGGGAGGGGUGUGAACCCUAUUUGUGGGUUCAUUUCUGUUGUUUCAGGCUAACACUCCAGGAAAAUAUUCCCAGACUGGAGCUCUCAGAAACACAUGGCCAAAGUCCUUCAUUUGUUUUUUUGCCUGUGGGACCAGGGGAAAACAGUCCAGGAACAAGAUGCUCUUUGGCAUUUGCAGGGUUCUUGGCAGAUCAACAGUUACAGAACAGAGUCUAGGAGGAAACAUACUGAUUGUGUCAAGUUGUAGGAUUUCAGAAGAAAUUAAAAUUCUCUCUCUUCUAA